GAUGAACGCUGGCGGCGUGCCUAAUACAUGCAAGUCGAGCGAACGGACGAGAAGCUUGCUUCUCUGAUGUUAGCGGCGGACGGGUGAGUAACACGUGGAUAACCUACCUAUAAGACUGGGAUAACUUCGGGAAACCGGAGCUAAUACCGGAUGAUAUUUUGAACCGCAUGGUUCAAAAGUGAAAGACGGUCUUGCUGUCACUUAUAGAUGGAUCCGCGCUGCAUUAGCUAGUUGGUAAGGUAACGGCUUACCAGGGCAACGAUGCAUAGCCGACCUGAGAGGGUGAUCGUCCACACUGGAACUGAGACACGGUCCAGACUCCUACGGGAGGCAGCAGUAGGGAAUCUUCCGCAAUGGGCGAAAGCCUGACGGAGCAACGCCGCGUGAGUGAUGAAGGUCUUCGGAUCGUAAAACUCUGUUAUUAGGGAAGAACAUAUGUGUAAGUAACUGUGCACAUCUUGACGGUACCUAAUCAGAAAGCCACGGCUAACUACGUG
rnacentral:rRNA from 1 species